UACGAAGGUGGCAAGCGUUGCUCGGAAUCACUGGGCAUAAAGCGCGCGUAGGCGGCUUGGUAAGUCGGAUGUGAAAUCCCUCAGCUCAACUGAGGAACUGCGUCCGAUACUGCUUUGCUUGAGGCCUGGAGGGGGGAACGGAAUUCCCGGUGGAGCGGUGAAAUGCGUAGAUAUCGGGAGGAACGCCGGAGGCGAAAGCGGUUCCCUGGUCAGGUUCUGACGCUGAGGCGCGAAAGCUAGGGGAGCAAACGGG
rnacentral:rRNA from 1 species